AAGACUGGCGCUCUCAAUGAAUCUUUGCCACAACGUCUGCUAACCUCCGUUAGUGCUAGUCCAUUCAUGUUUUAUGAGAAGUCAUUGUAUUUUUGCUUUGCUAAUUUUGCUGUUUCUUAUGUCUCUAGUUUUCUCUGGAUCAUCUACUCACCUUCACAGUUUAGUCACGCUUUUCCUGGACGCUGGUCAUCUCUAUUCAUUUACAGUCACGUCCUACGCUAACUCUGUUCCUUGUCCUCGGUUGCCUGUCUCCCUGCCUUCUCCUCACGGUCCAUCACUGGACCACUGUUCUUGGACCCACAGCUCGUUGAUACUCACCCGGACCGCCUCGACUACUUCCCCCCACGCCACUCUUUGCCCACCAACAAUGACUCUAAUUACCACCCCUUGAACCACAACCCAUUCCCCGAGACCCCCUGUAGAACCCGCUUCAUGCUCACAGCUCCAUGCACCCGAUUCUUACCAUAGUUCACAGUUUAUGCUCUAUGUGUCAAGUGUCUCUUGAGAAAGCCUCUGUACCUCCGGCUGAAUCUGCAUUUUGGAUCCACUCUCUCGCUCUGGCCAUUCCUCAGUCAAAUUCAUUUCCAAAUAUGAAGUGUGUUCAUCAAUCUCUAUAUCAGAAUGGACCCCCCCCCCCCAAGCUCCAGUGCCUCCACCACAGAACCACCCACUCCUUCAACAUCGGCAUCGUCUGGCACGACACAGCAUCAUAUAACUGGUCAAGGCCUACUGUAUGCUGCAGCCUAAAGGCAGAGUUGGGUUGCUGAGGCCUGAGUGAUUGCCGGCCUUCUACUUACAGGGUGGUGGGUCUUGGAGGACAACUGCUGAUCACCAUUAAAGUAGUUGACAUGAUGAUGCCACAACUGACUUGUGGAAUCGCUGGCUCUGGCCUUGGACUGUGUGUUUUAUCCCUUUAACAAGUGGGAGACGGGAC
ensembl:lncRNA